CCUACAAAAGUUUACCAACACCAGAAAUAAAAUUGAAACCAAAUAAAUGACACCCUAUAAAAUUGCCAAAAAUCUACAUAGCCAAGAAAAUUAAAGAAUUAAGAGAGUAAAGAGAUUGCCAAGUUGAUUCAUGAAUACAUUCUGAAUCUUUCUCUGGUAAGAAAUUUAUUUUUAACAUAUAGAAAGAAGGUAAAAUAUAAUGACUUAUGAAUAAACAACCAACCUAAAAUUAAGUAAUAGAUUUGAAGAUAUCUCUGAACACAAGUGAUUAAUCACAUAUGAAACAUUCAUUAUUCACAACACAACUUAUUAGUAUAAUAAAGGACAUGUCCAAAAUUAGAUAUUAUUUUACUUCAGUGAGUUUAUCAAAGGCAAUGCCUAGUAGAUAAAAACCACAAAUUGUUAACAAGGACAUUGAAACAUGAGAAAACUUGAUCAUGCUGGUAAGAGUAUAGAGUUGUACCUAUAUGUGAAAUAACAACAUUGUGGUUUCUCAAUUAAAAAAAAAAAACCUGGGUUUGGUGAUGGGACACAGUAGUAGAACACUGUCCUAAUAUAUACACAGCUCUGGAUGUGUAAGAAAAAAGAAAAUAUAUUUAACAUAUGAUGUUGUCAACCCAAUACUAUGACAACCUGGAGGCUCUACUCUUUGGUACAUCUGUGUAAAUUAUCAAGUCAUAGUAAAAAGAUGCAUACAAACAAGUUGACCAAAAAUUGGUGUCCAGCUUAGUGACAAAUAUAUUAAAUAAAAACAAAUUUUUUCAUGGUUUUUCUCAGAAAAAAAAAAAGAAUUGGAAAAUACCCUUUGGAAUCAGUGUCUUGCAAAGUUCUAUGUUCUAAAUCACCUGGGUUUUUCUAUCAUGAAUUAGUAGGGCAUAAGAUUUAUCUCUCAUUUUUAGAAGUCAGCCUCCAUCAGGAGUUAAAGGGAAAAAUCUUUCUCUAGAGUUUAGAAUACUUUCAGAACAUAUAUAAUAGAUGAAGGCUGACAUAGCAAAAUGUUUGUUUAGGAGACAUGUCACAGCAGAUUAAUGGAAAAUGUGGGUUCUUUUCACUCUAUUUAUGUAUCACUUAAAAAUAAAUUCAAAUUUAUUAACAAAUAAUGGGUAGUAAGGUACCUUUGCCUAGGUUAUUUAUCAUUUUCAUUAGUCUCUUAUAAUAACCAUAACCAAAGCAUUGUUUCUUUUUUGUACAACAAUUGGUCCAGUUAGAGAACCCCUGUUACUUUUGGUUGGUACAUAGUAAAAUAGUGUUUAAUGUCAGAAAAACAGCAAGGAUUUGGUAUAUAGGUGAAAUUCCAGUGUGCUCAUAGUUGUUUUCAUGCUCAGAGAUGUUCUUUCUCCUGGACCUUUUGCUUUGUCUCUAGAGAAGUACUGAACUCAAACUGUUACAGCAUGUUGCAACAGUGUGGAAAGAUCAACAGAAUAGGAGACACCCCAUUCUCCUUCUCAUGGCCCUUGGAUAGAAAUCUUAAAUGAAGUCUCCCAGUUACUAGCAUACAUAUGGUUGCACCAUGAAAGAAAGAAAACAGAAUGUAAGGAUUUAGAGCAACCCUGCCUAAAAGUCCUAUCUCCAGUUUCCAAUAUGGUUUUCAGAAACAAUUAAGGAUGCCAUAGAACUUCUAAUUGCGUACUUUUUAUAGAAAAUUACUAUAUCAAAUUCAGUGUCUGUUUUAUAUUGAAUGCAAAACAAGAUUCUUAGACAAGUCACAUAUAAAUCCUUUUAGGAAAUAAUGAUAUUUUUUCAACCAAAAGUUGUCUCAAGAAAUCAACAUUAUUUUAUACUCUGACAAACCAUUUUAUUGUAUGGUUUAAAGCAAACAUAUACUGGCCAUGUUUUCUGCCUUAUUAACUAUAUUGUGGAAGACCAAACAAUGUAGCUUCUACAGAUUUCUACUGCACUCUUGGAAUGGAUGUGAAAAUCAAGGUCUCUAUGUCCUUCAGAUUGCUGAGGCUUCAACUAUGAAGCCUUAUACAAGUAUUUCAAGUUUCAUCAGGUUCCUAAUGACGUGUUCAAUGGUUUGUAUAUGCUGGCCCAGGGAGUGGCACUAUUUAGAGGUAUGACCGUAUUGGAGUAAGUGUGUCACUGUGGGCAUAAUCUUUAAAGCCCUCAUCCUAACUGCCUGGGAGGCAGUCCUUUCCUAGCAACCUCUCCAUGAAGAUGUAGAACUCUCUGAUCCUCCUGCACCAUGCUUGCUUAAACUCUGCCAUGCUUCAACCUUGAUGAUAAUGGACUGAACCUCUGAAGCCCUAAUUAAAAGUUGUUCUUAUAAGAGUUGCCAUGGUCAUGUU
ensembl:processed_transcript